rnacentral:rRNA from 1 species
CCUACGGGAGGCUGCAGUGAGGAAUAUUGGUCAAUGGCCGGAAGGCUGAACCAGCCAAGUCGCGUGAGGGAAUAAGGCCCUAUGGGUCGUAAACCUCUUUUGUCAGGGAGCAAAGGCGUCCACGUGUGGACGAGAGGAGAGUACCUGAAGAAAAAGCAUCGGCUAACUCCGUGCCAGCAGCCGCGGUAAUACGGAGGAUGCGAGCGUUAUCCGGAUUUAUUGGGUUUAAAGGGUGCGUAGGCGGAGUGUCAAGUCAGCGGUAAAAUUUCGGGGCUCAACCCCGGCCCGCCGUUGAAACUGGCAGUCUCGAGUUGGAGAGAAGUAUGCGGAAUGCGCGGUGUAGCGGUGAAAUGCAUAGAUAUCGCGCAGAACUCCGAUUGCGAAGGCAGCAUGCCGGCUCCACACUGACGCUGAGGCACGAAAGCGUGGGUAUCGAACAGGAUUAGAUACCCGAGUAGUC